UACGUAGGGGGCGAGCGUUGUCCGGAGUUACUGGGCGUAAAGGGCGUGUAGGCGGUUGGAUAAGUCUGGUGUGAAAUGCCGGAGCUUAACUUUGGCACUGCGCUGGAAACUGUCUGACUGGAGUUCGGUAGGGGUAACUGGAAUUCCCGGUGUAACGGUGAAAUGUGUAGAUAUCGGGAGGAACACCCGUGGCGAAGGCGGGUUACUGGGCCGCAACUGACGCUGAGACGCGAAAGCGUGGGGAGCAAACAGG
rnacentral:rRNA from 1 species